GAAUAUUGGACAAUGGGCGAAAGCCUGAUCCAGCCAUGCCGCGUGUGUGAAGAAGGCCUUUUUGUUGUAAAGCACCUUAAGCGAGGAGGGGGCCACAGAGAUUAAUACUAUAGGAGAGUAGGCGUCACUCGCAGAAUAAGCACCGGCUAACUCUGUGCCAGCAGCCGCGGUAAUACAGAGGGUGCGAGCGUUAAUCGGAUUUACUGGGCGUAAAGCGUGCGUAGGCGGCUUUUUAAGUCGGAUGUGAAAUCCCUGAGCUUAACUUAGGAAUUGCAUUCGAUACUGGGAAGCUAGAGUAUGGGAGAGGAUGGUAGAAUUCCAGGUGUAGCGGUGAAAUGCGUAGAGAUCUGGAGGAAUACCGAUGGCGAAGGCAGCCAUCUGGCCUAAUACUGACGCUGAGGUACGAAAGCAUGGGGAGCAAAC
rnacentral:rRNA from 1 species